CACCGCGGUUAGACGAGAGGCCCCAGUUGAUAGUAUAACGGCGUAAAGGGUGGUUAAGGAGAAAUAAAAAUAAAGCCAAAUGGCCCCUCGGCCGUCAUACGCUUCUGGGUGUCCGAAGCCCUUACACGAAAGUAGCUUUAAUAAACCAACCUGACCCCACGAAAACUGAGAAA
rnacentral:rRNA from 1 species